GAAGGCAGCAACCAGGAAGUGAAGCUGAACCGUGAAACCAGUCCUGGCGCAUAAAGCCGCGCGCGCACCGGGUUUGAAAUCGGAUCAUUGGACCGUUUGGUGCCUGAUGACACGAGAACUUAAAAAAAACCAAGGACACAUCUUUUUCCAAAAACCUCUGCGGAUGUCAGAGACCACCUGAAUGGAUCCAGAAACACUGGUUGCUAUGGCGACUGACUCCACAAGCAGUGGCCUCUCGUGAUUCAGUCGGGGGUCAUUCGAGGUCAGGGGUCUGCAACCUGCGGCUCCGAGGCCACUUGUGACUCUUGUACCUCUCUAAAGUGGCUUUCUGGUUAAAUGAAUAAAUACAAUAAUAGUAUUUUUUUCUUUCAA